rnacentral:rRNA from 1 species
AUCGAACGCUGGCGGCAGGCUUAACACAUGCAAGUCGAACGCCCCGCAAGGGGAGUGGCAGACGGGUGAGUAACGCGUGGGAAUCUACCGUACCCUACGGAAUAACGCAUGGAAACGUGUGCUAAUACCGUAUACGCCCUACGGGGGAAAGAUUUAUCGGGGUAUGAUGAGCCCGCGUUGGAUUAGCUAGUUGGUGGGGU